rfam:Picea glauca, whole genome shotgun sequence.
UGCCUACAACAUAUAAUUAAUGAAUCGGAUCCCGUUAGAACUUCGCAGUUAAGCGUGCUCAAGAUAGAUUAGUACUGGGAUGGGUUACCACCCGAUAAUUUCUAGUGUUUUAGAUGC